rnacentral:hammerhead_ribozyme from 1 species
AUCCAGCUGACGAGUCUCGGACCAGGACGAAACGUGCUUCAAAGUGGAU